rnacentral:tRNA from 9 species
GCGGGAGUGCUGGAACUGGCAGACAGGCUAGACUAAGGAUCUAGUGGUCGCAAGAUCGUGUGGGUUCAAGUCCCAUCUCCCGCA